GGUCUUUCCACAAGAUGGCACUGAUAGCUUUUCCUUGUUCCUCUUUUAUUGUCUUGUUGAAAAAUGUGUGAUUUGUAUACUGUUACAGAACAUUCCAGCAGCAUGGAAACAUUAAGUUGGGGGAUGAUGCCUUACGCUAGGUGCUAUCAUUUUGGGAGUUGAAGAUAAGGAAGGAGUUAGAGACCAGGCUCCAGCUUCUGAAAAGCCAUUCAACAAAGACAGGUAUGGAGGGAAGCAGUGCAGGAGAUUUUAGGAGCACUUGUUUGAUGAGCUACUCAGCAAAAGUCCUAGAUGAUCUUCACCUGAACUCCUAGUAAGACGCUUGCAAAGACCUUAACAGGAAGCUACUUUCGACUGUAAAUCUCAAGAACUGGAAAAUUUCUACCAGUAUCCCACUAAUGUGGGAAGUUGCAAGAAGUUCACCUGGGUGCUGCUGUGAAGCCUUCAUUUGCAUAUGCAUUUGCCUGCCUCCAGCAACUAAUGAGGUCAUCUCUCUUGUCCUCUUCCAUCUCACACGAGUGCCUUUCUUUGACACUGAACAUUCAAGAGAAGGGAGUCCCCCCCUCACCCCCGCCCCGCCCUGUACUGG
ensembl:lncRNA